rnacentral:rRNA from 1 species
GUGGCGAAUAGCUCAGUAACACGUGGCCAAACUACCCUUCGGAACACAAUACCCUCGGGAAACUGAGGCUAAUAGUGUAUACCAUACCACCACUGGAAUGAGUGGUAUGCCAAACGCUCCGGCGCCGAAGGAUGUGGCUGCGGCCGAUUAGGUAGACGGUGGGGUAACGGCCCACCGUGCCAAUAAUCGGUAUGGGUCAUGAGAGUGAGAACCCAGAGACGGAAUCUGAGACAAGAUUCCGGGCCCUACGGGGCGCAGCAGGCGCGAAACCUUUACACUGCACGACAGUGCGAUAGGGGGAUCCCAAGUGCACAGGCAUAGCGCCUGUGCUUUUCGGUACCCUAAGGCGGUACCAGAAUAAGGGCUGGGCAAGACCGGUGCCAGCCGCCGCGGUAAUACCGGCAGCCCAAGUGAUGGCCGAUCUUAUUGGGCCUAAAGCGUCCGUAGCUGGCCGCGCAAGUCCAUCGGGAAAUCCACCUGCUCAACAGGUGGGCGCCCGGUAGAAACUGCGUGGCUUGGGACCGGAAGGCGCGACGGGUACGUCCGGGGUAGGAGUGAAAUCCCGUAAUCCUGGACGGACCGCCGAUGGCGAAAGCACGUCGCGAGAACGGAUCCGACAGUGAGGGACGAAAGCCA